rnacentral:misc_RNA from 1 species
GAAGAAGAACGUAGCGAAAUGCGAUAAGUAAUGUGAAUUGCAGAAUUCAGUGAAUCAUCGAAUCUUUGAACGCACAUUGCGCCCCUUGGUAUUCCGAGGGGCAUGCCUGUUCGAGCGUCAUUAUAACCCCUCAAGCUCAGCUUGGUGUUGGGGCCUGCUGCACUGGCAGCCCUUAAAAUCAGUGGCGGCGCCAUCUGGCUCUAAGCGUAGUAAUUCUUCUCGCUAUGGAGUCCUGGUGGAUGCUUGCCAUCAACCCCCAAUUUUUCUAUGGUUGACCUCGGAUCAGGUAGGGAUACCCGCUGAACUUAAGCAUAUCAAUAAGCGGAGGA